AGGCAUCAGCUUCACAGAGAGAAUCUUGAUGCCCAACAAGGACAGCAUUUUCAGAGAUGUACCCUUACAAGGGGUCCCCAUACAAGAUUGAAAUGGUAAAGAACUGAAGAUCCAAAGCCAGAGAAUGAUAAAGUAACUUCAACCUGACACAGUAAAACAUUGCAGGGAGAGUCCGGGAUCUGGAAUGAGAAUGCCACGUCCAGGCUGUGUUACCUUACAAAAAUUAUUAAUGCUUCAGUGGCCUCAUCUGCAGAAUGGAAAUACCAAUAAUAGUAGCUAUCUGAUAAGGUUAUUGUGGGGAUAGUAGGAGACAAUCCAUAAUAAUGUUUGAGUAGUAGCUGGCACAUUGUAGAUACUCAACAUACGCCAGCUAUUAUUGUUAUAGAAAAUAUGCAGA
rnacentral:lncRNA from 1 species